UACAGAGGGUGCAAGCGUUAUCCGGAAUUACUGGGCGUAAAGCGUGCGUAGACGGUUACAUAAGUCGGGUGUGAAAGCCCCGGGCUCAACCUGGGAAUUGCAUUCGAGACUGCGUAGCUAGGGUGCGGAAGAGGGAAGCGGAAUUUCCGGUGUAGCGGUGAAAUGCGGAGAUAUCAAGAGGAACACCUGAGGUGAAGACGGGUUGCUGGGCUGAAACUGACGCUGAGGCGCGAAAGCCAGGGGAGCAAACAGG
rnacentral:rRNA from 1 species